rnacentral:tRNA from 1 species
ACCUUCUUGGUGUAGUGGUUUGCACGCUCGGCUUGUAUUCGAGGUCCGUGGUUCGAGUCCCGGCUAGGGUA